rnacentral:rRNA from 1 species
GAUGAACGCUGGCGGCGUGCCUAAUACAUGCAAGUCGAGCGAACAGACGAGGAGCUUGCUCCUCUGACGUUAGCGGCGGACGGGUGAGUAACACGUGGAUAACCUACCUAUAAGACUGGGAUAACUUCGGGAAACCGGAGCUAAUACCGGAUAAUAUAUUGAACCGCAUGGUUCAAUAGUGAAAGACGGUUUUGCUGUCACUUAUAGAUGGAUCCGCGCCGCAUUAGCUAGUUGGUAAGGUAACGGCUUACCAAGGCAACGAUGCGUAGCCGACCUGAGAGGGGGCUCGGCCACCCUGGAACUGAGACACGGCCCAGACUCCUAGGGGAGGCAGCAGUAGGGAAUCUGCCGCAAUGGGCGAAAGCCUGACGGAGCAACGCCGCGUGAGUGAUGAAGGUCUUCGGAUCGUAAAACUCUGUUAUUAGGGAAGAACAAAUGUGUAAGUAACUAUGCACGUCUGGACGGUACCUAAGCAGAAAGCCACGGCUAACUACGU